CCAUAGCCCCGAUUGCAGCAAUUGUCUGAGCUCAUUUUAUUUGUAUUUGCGGCGCGGCUUCGCCGCGCCGCAAAUACAAAUAAAAUAGCGAGUGCGGAAAGCGGGAAAUAGC
rnacentral:misc_RNA from 1 species